AUAAGACGUUGCCACAUCUAGUAUUACGUAAAAUACUUGAUUAAAUAAUGGAAGCAAUAAAAAGAACCAUAAAGAUGUGAAACAGUAUAAUUCCGAUUUUACAGAAGGCGGCUGUGUAAAUAUACAUAUACUCCAAUUGAGAUACCAAACAGAUUGAGACAUUCAAAAUCGUCAAGUGUGAGCUAGAGGGCGUCGCAUGAAAGUUUCAUGUAGCCCAACUGUUUACUCUACAGCCUUUCAGUUGUUCAAACAUUCUACGAUGCGGAUUACCGCGCGAUAACGUUUGAGAUUCUAAGAUUGAUUUUCAAUGAGAUGCUUUACUAGGAAGAUUUGCGGUAUAUGGAAUUUUAUAAGACCUAUUUUUCUUAGAAUGGCAAGCGAGUUGACGUUGCACGUGAUGGAAACUGGAAACCAAAAACGUACCAUGGAUAUAAAAGAGUAUACUACGUCGCCCAUGAUAUCCUUCAUGCGUUGUCUUUCUUGAGGACUAAGCUGUUAUGGUUCAGUAUCUUAUAAUUUCUUAAUUUUCAAACUGAAACACAAUUAUGUAGACACAACUAUUUCUCGGCUGAAGCACAAAUUGGAGAGAGGUAGCCAAG
rnacentral:lncRNA from 1 species